GGAAACGACUGCUAAGACUGGAUAGGAGACAAGAAGGCAUCUUUUUGUUUUUAAAAGACCUAGCAAUAGGUAUGCUUAGGGAGGAGCUUGCGUCACAUUAGUUAGUUGGUGGGGUAAAGGCCUACCAAGACUAUGAUGUGUAGCCGGGCUGAGAGGUUGAACGGCCACAUUGGGACUGAGACACGGCCCAAACUCCUACGGGAGGCAGCAGUAGGGAAUUUUCGGCAAUGGAGGAAACUCUGACCGAGCAACGCCGCGUGAACGAUGAAGUAUUUCGGUACGUAAAGUUCUUUUAUUAGGGAAGAAUAAAUGAUGGAAAAAUCAUUCUGACGGUACCUAAUGAAUAAGCCCCGGCUAACUAUGUGCCAGCAGCCGCGGUAAUACAUAGGGGGCAAGCGUUAUCCGGAAUUAUUGGGCGUAAAGGGUGCGUAGGCGGUUAAAUAAGUUUAUGGUCUAAGUGCAAUGCUUAACAUUGUGAUGCUAUAAAAACUGUUUAACUAGAGUAAGAUAGAGGCAAGUGGAAUUCCAUGUGUAGUGGUAAAAUGCGUAAAUAUAUGGAGGAACACCAGUAGCGAAGGCGGCUUGCUGGGUCUUUACUGACGCUGAGGCACGAAAGCGUGGGGAGCAAACAGGAUUAGAUACCCUGGUAGUCCACGCCGUAAACGAUGAGUACUAAAUGUUGGGUAAAACCAGUGUUGAAGUUAACACAUUAAGUACUCCGCCUGAGUAGUACGUACGCAAGUAUGAAACUUAAAGGAAUUGACGGGACUCCGCACAAGCGGUGGAUCAUGUUGUUUAAUUCGAAGGUACCCGAAAAACCUCACCAGGUCUUGACAUGCUUCUGCAAAGCUGUAGAAACACAGUGGAGGUUAUCAGUUGCACAGGUGGUGCAUGGUUGUCGUCAGCUCGUGUCGUGAGAUGUUGGGUUAAGUCCCGCAACGAGCGCAACCCUUAUUGUUAGUUGCCAGCACGUAAUGGUGGGGACUUUAGCAAGACUGCCAGUGAUAAAUUGGAGGAAGGUGGGGACGACGUCAAAUCAUCAUGCCCCUUAUGACCUGGGCUACAAACGUGAUACAAUGGCUGUUACAAAGGGUAGCUGAAACGCAAGUUUUUGGCGAAUCUCAAAAAAACAGUCUCAGUUCGGAUUGAAGUCUGCAACUCGACUUCAUGAAGUUGGAAUCGCUAGUAAUCGCGAAUCAGCAUGUCGCGGUGAAUACGUUCUCGGGGUUUGUACACACCGCCCGUCA
rnacentral:rRNA from 1 species